rnacentral:lncRNA from 1 species
GGGCGGAAGGGCAGGGGCCUGGUGACCCUUGCAUGAAUGCAGCCUGCUCUGCUCACUUCUCCCACUACCCAGAAACUUAAAAAAAAUUGUGUAAGCUUAAAGGAAUCAACUUGAAUCCAGUUCUCAUGGGGGAAAAUGGACUCCAGACAAGUACUGUCAAUCAACAGCCCCACUGGCCUAUUCCAUUUAUUCCUGAGAGUUCUGGGCUGCGUUCUCAACAAGUACCCAGGGCAGAGGUACCGCUCAAGAACAUCCCUUGGGGGCCCAGGCAUCCAGGAGACUACCUCACAGGACAAGCAGGAGCACUGGAAAAAGGUCUUUCCCUGUUAGGCUCAAAUGCCUCCCCAUGUUCCUAGAAAAGGCCAGGAGCACCAAGGGUUAGGGGCGCUUGUCUCCCCAGGGGCCAGCCCUUCUCAAAGAGGAUACUUGGCAGGAAAUACUGCACCCUGGUUGUUGUUUGUGAGUUCUACAUCCUGAGAGAGCUGAGCCCUGGCCCAGGAAGGAGGCCAUGGGUAGGUAGGACAGGCCUUCUACUGGACUGUCAGUGGGGGCUCUCAUACAGUCACUGAAAGAUUUUAGUUUGCUAAGAGAAAAAGUUUUGAAAGAUUUUAGUUCACAGAGAGAAAAAGUUUCCCACGGGCCUUGGCCCAUUACAAGGAAGUUGACCCCAACCCUGGGCACAUCCUAUGGUUUAGACAGGGACAAUCGCCAAGACAAUCCUCUUUGGGUCACACCUGGCUGGCCAACAGACAAUCAAGGACUUUCCAGGGUACAUUCUGUGGUUUUUCCUUUGUAAAAAAGCAAGUCACACCUGGGUGACCACUCUAACAUGAGAUCAUACUUUGUAAUCAAUCACUUUGUGCCCCUUGCGUGUAUGCUGAUCUGCGGUUUUUUCCUAUAAAAAGAGCCUGUAACCCUUGCUGUGUGUGCAGCUUCCCCGAUAUUGCUGACACCUGAAUGCGCAUUCGUUCAAUAAACCCUCUUGCUUUUGCAGCUCUUGGUCUGGUUUCUGAGGCCUUUAGGAGUCUGGGGAUCUUUCAUUUGGCAAGCCAGCCAGGAGCCAGGAAUUUGAGGAGACCCCCAGACUCAUUACCACAAGCGAGAGGAGGUAAGUCGGGCCGGCACAUUUAUGUUCAUGUUCUGUUUGUCUGUCCAUCCGGAAGCCCUGUAUAGGCUAUGCAGGCUCUGUAGAGACUCACGAGGUAGACUGAUGAGUCGUUCCCUUCUGAGUCCGACCCUGGAGGACGCUCCAUGGGUGAUCUGAAUGGGAGAGAGCAAGCAGGCAACCCUCGUCCCUGGGAGCAGUCGACGAAAGUCUCUGCCCCCGUCUGAAUCUUUGGUUUCUGCUUGGCGACAAUCUAGCCGACUAGUCUCUGUUGUUUGGCCUGACUGUCUGUCUCAAUGUUUGUCUUUUUGUUUUUCACCAUCUGACCACCAUGGGACAACUAACGACCCCCUUAAGUUUGACUCUAGACCACUGGGGAGACGUUUGGGACCAAGCCAACAACCAGUCCCUGGACAUGUCAAGAAGAAAAAAUGACAAACUUUCUGCAGUUCCGAGUGGCCAACAUUUAAUGUUGGCUGGCCUCUGGGUGGUUCUUUUAAUCUUAAGAUUAUUUUACAGGUAAAAGAAAAGAUGUUCAAUUCUGGACCCCACGGACACCCCGACCAGGUUCCCUACAUCAUAACCUGGGAAGACCUGGCCCACAACCCUCCACCCUGGGUGGGCCCUUUCAUUAAUUCUGGAUGCAGCACCCUACCCUGAUCCUUCUGCAAUAUGUAAAUGACCUCCUGCUGGCAGCCCGGACUGAACAGGACUGUAAACAAGGUACUGGGCCCUUUUGGAAAAACUAGAGACCCUGGGGUACCGUGCCUCAGCUAAAAAGGCACAGAUUUGUCAGCAGAAAGUUGUAAAAGUGUCAGAGAACACUGUAAACUGUUUACUAUGGGCUCUCAUAUCUACAAAUAAUAAAUUUAUAAUAAUAAUAUAGAUUAAAAAUUUUAACCACACCAGGUUAAUUCUGUUUAAAAGUUUUAUUUAUAUCCCCCCAAAUUAAUUCUGUAUACUUGUUAAAAGGUUCUAUCUAUGUUUUCUGUAAAUUUUAUUAUAAGCCAAAAGCCAAAACAAAAAACAAAAAUGGUUCAAAUAUUUUUACUGUCUAAUUCUAACAGCAGUCAGUCACUUGUGGACAUAGCUCAGAAUUUAUCUCUGAGCUCUAGUCAUUAAAUUUGGGUUAUCAGGAAUUCAGAUGUCUUUUUAAUAAAGAUAAUAUUAAAACUGUUUCAUGGUUAAAUCUGUCAAAAAGUUAAAACUAAUAACCCUGGAAAUUGACAACAUAAAUUUAAUAGUCACCCAGAUGAUAAUGAUUUUAAAUACAUCAAGAAUGCUUUAUUUUUGAUAUUCUUACAAAAAGACAUUAAAAGAUUUUUAAUCGUUCAAACUUAUAA